AGCGAACGCUGGCGGCAUGCUUAACACAUGCAAGUCGCACGAAGGUUUCGGCCUUAGUGGCGGACGGGUGAGUAACGCGUAGGAAUCUAUCCAUGGGUGGGGGAUAACACUGGGAAACUGGUGCUAAUACCGCAUGAUACCUGAGGGUCAAAGGCGCAAGUCGCCUGUGGAGGAGCCUGCGUUCGAUUAGCUAGUUGGUGGGGUAAAGGCCUACCAAGGCGAUGAUCGAUAGCUGGUUUGAGAGGAUGAUCAGCCACACUGGGACUGAGACACGACCCAGAGGCCUACGGGAGGCAGCGGUGGUGAAUAUUGGACAAUGGGGGCAACCCUGAUCCAGCAAUGCCGCGUGUGUGAAGAAGGUCUUCGGAUUGUAAAGCACUUUCGACGGGGACGAUGAUGACGGUACCCGUAGAAGAAGCCCCGGCUAACUUCGUGCCAGCCGCCGCGGUAA
rnacentral:rRNA from 1 species